CUUAAUUUAUAUUGCACACAUUUUUAAUGUAUGUGCAUUAUCUGGUAAAAAUAUCCACAUAUUUUUAAGGGAUAAUUAUAUUUUUAUUGUCUCAACUUUUUAUUUUUUUUCUAUUUCGAUAUUUAAACAGAAAACGCUAGCGAUCCGAGGGCUGGAAGAAAAAGAGCUCUAAAAUGCCAACUUAAUUGCAUGAGUGGAUUCCAGGUUCCUUGGCGCUGGAAAUUCAUCGGCGACCAACAUAACUGCCAAUAGGGACUCGUUAGAGCCACUAGCAACUUUGGGCUUAGACUUGGUGGUCAUAUGAGCUGCACUUCUUUGCGCUUUAAUUUGUAUUCUUAGACUCAUUGACACUCUCAGGGGAAAGAGAGAAGCGUUUUAACAGUAGAAAGGAGAUCUGGGUUUCUCCUGCCAAACCAGAAUCUGGUUUCUUUUCGUUCAAAGUUUCAAUCAUUUAUCAUCUAAUUCCUUAUUCCUUUGAACCUUAUGGGUACAAGCAUAGUAAUUCAAUGUAGAGCCAACAACCACCACAAGGUCACCAUAAUCAGCCACUUUAUCAACAACAGGCAAUCUAGCAACCAAAAGUCACCUGAAAAAGUGCCAAAAUCCAAUUCCUCCUAAAAUUGAUGAAGUCCGUACCGCCGCCUCCACAUCACCGCUAAUGGUGGCAGUAAUGGCGAGAAUCGAAUAACAACAAUUACCUGGUUUGUUCUUCUAGACGCAAGAAUAUAGAAGUAAUUACAAGAGUUUAUAUUUUUGGUUUCCAUUUAGAGGCCCUUAUUUGCUUUACUUUGCGAUUUCCUUUGUUAUUUUUGCUUUUUCUUUUGCAAUGGCCUCGAUGGUUUUAGAAAGGGUUUGAGGUUGGGGCCUUCAAAUUUUUUCUAGGUAUAAGAUCAUAGCAGCUUGCAGAGGUUCAUGAUCUUGAUCAACUAAGAUUGCAAGGGUAGAGGUUUGCCGGUAAUUUCCAACAGCGGAGUGGAAAGCAACACAAGAUUGAAGAACAAGGAGAUGUGAAGGGAAAGAAGAUGUGAAAUUUGGGUGUUCUUAAGUUCAAAAUAGAAAUUCUAUGUCUAUGUCUUACGUGGAAUCCACUCAUGCAGUUGAAUUUACAAUUUUGGAGCUCUUUUUCUCCACGUCAGCUGCCACGUGUUAUACAAUCGAGUUCCAUAAUUGCAAAAUCACCUUUCCGGUUAGCCAUCCGUUCAAGUACCAAAAUAGAAAAAAUUAUAAGUUGAGAUACUAAAAAUAUAAUUAUCUCAAUAUUUUAUCAUAAGCAUGGACUAACUAUUUUAUGUAUUUGCAAUAUUUUUAAUUUUCUAUAAGGUGAAGUUGUUAUGGGAAUCGAAUUGUGAGACACAACUAUAAGAAAAUAUAAAUGGGCACAACAAUUUUAAUUUAAGCACUA